ACGGAAGGCAGCAGUGAGGAAUAUUGGUCAAUGGGCGAGAGCCUGAACCAGCCAAGUCGCGUGAAGGAAGAAGGUUCUAUGGAUUGUAAACUUCUUUUAUUCGAGGGUAAAGUGAGCCAUGCGUGGUUUAUUGCAAGUAUCGAAUGAAUAAGCAUCGGCUAACUCCGUGCCAGCAGCCGCGGUAAUACGGAGGAUGCGAGCGUUAUCCGGAUUUAUUGGGUUUAAAGGGUGCGUAGGCGGGCGAUUAAGUCAGCGGUAAAAGCGUGUUGCUCAACAAUGCCAAGCCGUUGAAACUGGUUGUCUUGAGAGUAAGCGAGGUAGGCGGAAUGUGAUGUGUAGCGGUGAAAUGCUUAGAUAUGUCACAGAACUCCGAUUGCGAAGGCAGCUUGCCAGUAUACGUCUGACGCUGAUGCACGAAAGCGUGGGUAUCAAGCAGGAUUAGAUACCCUGGUA
rnacentral:rRNA from 1 species